rnacentral:rRNA from 1 species
GAUGAACGCUGGCGGCGUGCCUAAUACAUGCAAGUCGAGCGAACAGACGAGGAGCUUGCUCCUCUGACGUUAGCGGCGGACGGGUGAGUAACACGUGGAUAACCUACCUAUAAGACUGGGAUAACUUCGGGAAACCGGAGCUAAUACCGGAUAAUAUAUUGAACCGCAUGGUUCAAUAGUGAAAGACGGUUUUGCUGUCACUUAUAGAUGGAUCCGCGCCGCAUUAGCUAGUUGGUAAGGUAACGGCUUACCAAGGCAACGAUGCGUAGCCGACCUGAGAGGGUGAUCGGCCACACUGGAACUGAGACACGGUCCAGACGCCUACGGGAGGCAGCAGUAGGGAAUCUUCCGCAAUGGGCGAAAGCCUGACGGAGCAACGCCGCGUGAGUGAUGAAGGUCUUCGGAUCGUAAAACUCUGUUAUUAGGGAAGAACAAAUGUGUAAGUAACUAUGCACGUCUUGACGGUACCGAAGCAGAAAGCCACGGCUAACUACGU